rnacentral:tRNA from 1 species
GCCCCGGUAGUGUAGUCCGGCCCAGCAUCUAGGACUUUCGAUCCUAUGACCCGGGUUCAAAUCCCGGCCGGGGCACCA